rnacentral:rRNA from 1 species
UACGGGGGGGGUAAGCGUUGUUCGGAAUUACUUGGGGCGUAAAAGGGCUCGUAGGCGGCCAACUAAGUCAGACGUGAAAUCCCUCAGCUUAACUGGGGAACUGCGUCUGAAUACUGGAUGGCUUGGAUUCGGGAGAGGAAUGCGGAAUUCCAGGUGUAGCGGUGAAAAUGCGUAGAUAUCUGGAGGAACACCGGUGGCGAAGGCGGCAUUCUGGACCGACAUUGACGCUGAGGAGCGAAAGCCAGGG